rnacentral:rRNA from 1 species
UAGCUUACCAUGUACUCGUACACGUAACUCUUACAGGGUGGGAUUAGUGGCUAACGGGUGAGUAACACGUGGGCAAUCUGCCCUGCACUCUGGGACAAGCCCUGGAAACGGGGUCUAAUACCGGAUACGACACGCUCGGGCAUCUGAUGCGUGUGGAAAGCUCCGGCGGUGCAGGAUGAGCCCGCGGCCUAUCAGCUUGUUGGUGAGGUAAUGGCUCACCAAGGCGACGACGGGUAGCCGGCCUGAGAGGGCGACCGGCCACACUGGGACUGAGACACGGCCCAGACUCCUACGGGAGGCAGCAGUGGGGAAUAUUGCACAAUGGGCGCAAGCCUGAUGCAGCGACGCCGCGUGAGGGAUGACGGCCUUCGGGUUGUAAACCUCUUUCAGCAGGGAAGAAGCGAAAGUGACGGUACCUGCAGAAGAAGCGCCGGCUAACUACGUGCCAGCAGCCGCGGUAAUACGUAGGGCGCAAGCGUUGUCCGGAAUUAUUGGGCGUAAAGAGCUCGUAGGCGGCUUGUCGCGUCGGUUGUGAAAGCCCGGGGCUUAACCCCGGGUCUGCAGUCGAUACGGGCAGGCUAGAGUUCGGUAGGGGAGAUCGGAAUUCCUGGUGUAGCGGUGAAAUGCGCAGAUAUCAGGAGGAACACCGGUGGCGAAGGCGGAUCUCUGGGCCGAUACUGACGCUGAGGAGCGAAAGCGUGGGGAGCGAACAGGAUUAGAUACCCUGGUAGUCCACGCCGUAAACGGUGGGCACUAGGUGUGGGCAACAUUCCACGUUGUCCGUGCCGCAGCUAACGCAUUAAGUGCCCCGCCUGGGGAGUACGGCCGCAAGGCUAAAACUCAAAGGAAUUGACGGGGGCCCGCACAAGCGGCGGAGCAUGUGGCUUAAUUCGACGCAACGCGAAGAACCUUACCAAGGCUUGACAUACACCGGAAACAUCCAGAGAUGGGUGCCCCCUUGUGGUCGGUGUACAGGUGGUGCAUGGCUGUCCUCAGCU